UGUCGAGGGGACGGGAGAGUGCUCGCCGCGGCUCCCCGCUUGUGACAGCCCCGCUCGCCUUCGAUCCUUGGCCGUGAGGCAGCCGCAGGACCGGGGGAGACCAUGGAGCUUGGCAUAGCGGGGGUGCAGCGCCGUGCCUGAGGGCGGGCCGGGGCGGUAGCGCCAUGGAUAGCCGCUGCUAUGGGUGCGCGUGCAAGUUCUCUGUCUUCAAGAAAGAGUGUGGCUGCAAGAACUGCGGACGGUCCUUCUGCUCGGGCUGCCGGAGCUUCAGUGCUGUUGUUCCCCGCUGUGGAAACACUCAGCAGAAGGUGUGCAAGCAGUGCCAUGGAAAACUGACUGGAGAUGGAUCUCAAAGCAGUUCAGCAAAAUGGUCACCACCAGAAAACUACAAAAAGCGUGUAGCAGCUUUUGAAGCUAAACAAAACCAGCUGAAAGACCAACAGAAGGCAGCUGCAAGACCCCCAGGUCAAGCAGGCUCCAGAUACCAGGGGCUCACAAAAGAGGAUAGAGCUAUUGCAGAGAGACUGGAGAGGCUCAGGGAGGAAAGGAAACCAAAGUCCAUCCCUACUCAGGCUGAGAUCGAAGCUAGGCUGGCGGCCCUGAAGGAGGAUGGCCGGGGACCUGUUCCAUCCACACAGGAAAUGGAGGACCGGUUGGCUGUCCUGCAGGGGAGAGAUCCUCCUUCCCAAGCUCCCAGACCUGUACACCAACCUCCUGAUACCAGAAGCCUGGUCCAGCAGACAGAUGACCUGUUAACUCAGCUGUCUGAGGAGGUUGCCAUUGACGAGCAUUACAGACCAGGAGUUCAGCCUCAAGCUGUUAGUAGCCAAGGUUUGAAUGAUCUCAAUCGGGAAAGUGAAGAUUGUGUUUGCCCUGCAAAUCUGGACCCAAAACAGCUAGAGGAAGAGAAGAAUAAACUUCUGGCAGAAGCUGCUGCUGAGCUGCGAGAAGAGAACACUAGGCAGGAAAAGAUCCUACAGGUUGCCAAGAGACUGGCAGCACUCAAAGGCGAGGACCCAGAGAAAGUUACUCUGGAAACCUAUAAGUUCCCUGACAGUGAUGAGGAAGUGGCUGAGGAGGAGGCCAUUCGCAGAGUGCUGAAACAGCUCACAGAAGAAGCAGCCCUGGAUGAAGCAAGUGGAUUCAACAUUCCUCCAGAUCAGACCACCCAACCAGGACCCUCACAACAGAACCUGAGUAAGAAAGCAAAGCAAAAGAGCCACACUCCAACCACCCCAGUUCUUGCAAGGGCAGAUGAUAGUGAUGAGGAUGAGUUACCCUGGUGCUGCAUCUGCAACGAAGAUGCCACUUUGCGCUGCCAUGGCUGUGACGGGGACCUCUACUGCCAGCGCUGUUUUUGGGAAGGCCAUGAGGAGUUUGACCUGAAGGACCACCGCACCUCCCGCUAUCAUCUUCCUUGCAAACAGAAGUGAUCACACUCUUCAUGGGCAGAAAAGGAGCUGCAGAAUGGGAAAACAGAGGAGCCGGCCAGAUGGGAAGAAUCCAAGUGGAUUUGCAGCCAAAACGGUGGACGGAAAAAAAGAAGUCUUGAUGAGCUCCUGAGAACUGUAUUCAGUGCUCCUUGACCAGCAUGGAAUUUCCUAGAAGAAUCUAAAGGAGGGACAUCUUGUCCUAUUCCUCAGAUUAACACACUCUUUAAGAAUCAGGAAAAUGUCCCGUCUAGGUCCCUGCUGUGUGUGUAGAUCUGGAAGGAGUGGAGACUUCAAACCACUGGUACAAAGUUCACAAACUUGAUGAUGUUUCUCAAUAACAGUAAGUCCUAAACAUAUUCAGAAGUUCUGUCGCUGGUCCUGGUUUUUGUGAGGAAGAUACAUGUUUCCUUGUAACCAAAGCUGGGUGUUCCAUGUGAGCAAGGUCAUUUCUUCUGAGGAUUGGUGACUCUCCGGAGACCUCUCAAUCGACUAAGCAAUUCCGUAAUGAAGUCCUACAGUAAGAAUUGGUUCAAGAAGGAUGUCAUAUUAAUGACAGCACUCACUAGCCCAAAGAGUACUAUGGUGUUUCCAUCAUUCCCACAUUCACCCUCACAUUGAGCAGAAGACAGAAUUUUGAUGUAUAUUGAGCAAAUCUAUCUUUUAGCUUAGGAAAGAAGAACUUGUGAGGGAUGAGAAGGGUCUAAAAGCUCCUCUACUUCCCUUCCCCUCUCUCCCCUUGGAAAAGCCAUGUUUACUUUCUCCUCAGGAGCUAGCCUGCCCCUCUUCAUCCCAGAUACCUGCUUUUCCCACCAUGAGAUGACCUCAGGAUGCUAUUGUUCUCUUUUAGAUUCCACUGCUUCCUGUUGCCACCAUAACCUCCUGCCCACUUCUGCUGCCCUCCCAAUCUAGGGCAAAGCAAGCUGUCCCUCUUGUUGAGCCAGUAAAGCUCCAUGUUGUGGAUUGCAAACCAUCCUGGAGCUGUGCCAGUUCUACAAGGAAGUGGCUGGCAGAGAAGAGGUGGAGCAAAACACGUAGGACUAAUGAUAACAUUGAAUAGGGGUUGAGGACAGGCAGAGCAGAUAGAUGAGCAGUUAAUGGAGAUAAACCCUGAAUACUUUGCUGACACAGCCAAGGACUAUGAACUAAACUGGCCUAUCUGGUUAUUCCAAGCAGAUGGCAAUGUGACUAGUGCAAACUUUACCCUCUGCAUGGCAAGUAACAUCACCAUGAAGAAGUGUGCAGCCUUUCUUACCCAAAGACAUAGCUUCAUGUUCUUGUAAUUAGGCAAGGUCACUGGAAGUAUUGCCGCUUGUUACCAUUUGUACUGUGUGGAAGCCCAGCUUCCUCAUUUGGGUGAUCAGAGGUUGCCACAACGUGCUCUGGAAGUAAAUGCCUAGGAUCAUAAAUUCCUUUUCAGUCA